rfam:Gemmatimonadetes bacterium 13_1_20CM_4_66_11 13_1_20cm_4_scaffold_313, whole genome shotgun sequence.
GCUCGGGUGGCGAAAUUGGUAAACGCAAGGGACUUAAAAUCCCUCGGGGGCAACCCCUUGCAGGUUCGAUUCCUGCCCCGAGCA